rnacentral:tRNA from 1 species
GGGUAGGUGGCGUAAUUGGUAGCCGCGCCAGCCUUAGGAGCUGGUCCCGCAAGGGGUGGAGGUUCGAGUCCUCUCCUACCCA